CGGCCCAUUCGCUGUGCUGUCACGUCUUCUACAGCCUUGUUAUUAUUUUUUCCUACUUGAUACAUUAAUUACUGAGGCAAGAGUGGUCCAAUAUCACACGGCUUAUUUGUUAAUUUCUCUUAUAAUUCUGGAAGUUCAGCAGGAUUUCUGGUUCCGUUUGGGACUAGAAAGAACAUCUGUAAGGACGCAGAUGUGCAUCUCCAUUAGCUCGGCCCGUUCACUGUGGACUGCACUGAUUUAGAGCUCGCGGAGCACCUUGCUGGACCUCGCUGACCUUUGCCGAACCCUCCCCGUAGCAGCGGAGAGAACACCGAAUAAGACAAACCCUAUCGGGCCAUGAAACAGGUGUCUUCUUUUGAAGGAUUUAAGUCAUAAAAGUGUUUUCUCAAGCGACAAUAGAAUGAAACUAGAACUCAA